UACGAAGGGGGCUAGCGUUGCUCGGAAUUACUGGGCGUAAAGCGCGCGUAGGCGGCUUUCUAAGUCGGGGGUGAAAUCCUGGAGCUCAACUCCAGAACUGCCUUCGAUACUGGAGAGCUUGAGUCCGGGAGAGGUGAGUGGAACUGCGAGUGUAGAGGUGAAAUUCGUAGAUAUUCGCAAGAACACCAGUGGCGAAGGCGGCUCACUGGCCCGGUACUGACGCUGAGGUGCGAAAGCCAGGGGAGCAAACGGG
rnacentral:rRNA from 1 species